GUCGAGCGAUGAUGAGGAGCUUGCUCCUCUGAUUUAGCGGCGGACGGGUGAGUAACACGUGGGUAAUCUGCCUGUAAGACGGGGAUAACUCCGGGAAACCGGGGCUAAUACCGGAUAAUAAGAGAAGAAGCAUUUCUUCUUUUUGAAAGUUGGUUUCGGCUGACACUUACAGAUGAGCCCGCGGCGCAUUAGCUAGUUGGUGAGGUAACGGCUCACCAAGGCGACGAUGCGUAGCCGACCUGAGAGGGUGAUCGGCCACACUGGGACUGAGACACGGCCCAGACUCCUACGGGAGGCAGCAGUAGGGAAUCUUCGGCAAUGGGCGAAAGCCUGACCGAGCAACGCCGCGUGAGCGAUGAAGGCCUUCGGGUCGUAAAGCUCUGUUGUUAGAGAAGAACAAGUACGAGAGUAACUGCUCGUACCUUGACGGUACCUAACCAGAAAGCCACGGCUAACUACGUGCCAGCAGCCGCGGUAAUACGUAGGUGGCAAGCGUUAUCCGGAAUUAUUGGGCGUAAAGCGCGCGCAGGCGGUCUCUUAAGUCUGAUGUGAAAGCCCACGGCUCAACCGUGGAGGGUCAUUGGAAACUGGGAGACUUGAGUGCAGGAGAGAAAAGUGGAAUUCCACGUGUAGCGGUGAAAUGCGUAGAGAUGUGGAGGAACACCAGUGGCGAAGGCGGCUUUUUGGCCUGUAACUGACGCUGAGGCGCGAAAGCGUGGGGAGCAAACAGGAUUAGAUACCCUGGUAGUCCACGCCGUAAACGAUGAGUGCUAGGUGUUGGGGGGGUUCCACCCUCAGUGCUGAAGUUAACACAUUAAGCACUCCGCCUGGGGAGUACGACCGCAAGGUUGAAACUCAAAGGAAUUGACGGGGGCCCGCACAAGCAGUGGAGCAUGUGGUUUAAUUCGAAGCAACGCGAAGAACCUUACCAGGUCUUGACAUCCUUUGACCACUCUAGAGAUAGAGCUUUCCCCUUCGGGGGACAAAGUGACAGGUGGUGCAUGGUUGUCGUCAGCUCGUGUCGUGA
rnacentral:rRNA from 1 species